rnacentral:rRNA from 1 species
UACGUAGGCAGCAAGCGUUGUUCGGAAUUACUGGGCGUAAAGAGUGUGUAGGCGGUGUUCUAAGUCUGUUGUGAAAUCUCCCGGCUUAACUGGGAGGGUGCGGCGGAAACUGGAAUGCUAGAGGAUGGGAGAGGUAAGCGGAAUUCCACGUGUAGCGGUGAAAUGCGUAGAGAUGUGGAGGAACACCAGUGGCGAAGGCGGCUUUCUGGUCUGUAACUGACGCUGAGGCGCGAAAGCGUGGGGAGCAAACAGG